rnacentral:lncRNA from 1 species
CGAGGUGUCCCUGACAGGACGAGGGUGGAGUGGCAGCUGCUGAAACCUGAACUCCUCUGCCCUGCCCCCGUCCCUUGACCUCACGCAUCUAGUAGGUCAGCGCCAGAGGAAAUCCUCGAAGAAAAUGGGCGUCUCCCUUGCUGAGCACAGAACCGCAGUCAGUCCUGUGUGCCCGCUCCCUGGAUGAGGACAGGAAGGACGUGGGGGAGAGGCCACAGUCACCCUCAGGAGCCCCCAGACCCACUGGAAAGCAGCCCAGUGAGCAUCUGAGAAGUACUGCCUGUGCCUGGUGUGAGGGUGCAAGGCGGGGGGCCGUGUGGCCAGGCAGCCUAGGGUUGCGCCAAAGCCCAGCAGGCACCUCUGGGAUGGGAGAGGCGGUGUCUGCAGGGCCCUUCCCACAAAGUCUGUCCAUCUGCCACUGCUGCUGCUGCAAGGGGCUACGGGUCCUCUGGCGACUCUGAACCCCUCGGAAAAGGGAGGCUUGAGCUGCCCACUGCACCCUUGACCCCUUCUGAGCCUCUCGGCAAAGUCCCAAUCCACCCUCCUCAGGAGGUCCCAGGGACUUGCCCACAUGGGCACCCCAUGCCCUCAGCCAACCAACCCCACCAUGGCCCACACGCCUGCCCCUCCCUCUGUCUCCUUGGGGCCCCGCACACGUUGGCACAGAACAUCUCCCUGCUGGGUGACCUCUUCCCGCGAGCGGCCCAGGACAAGUGCAGCUUUCUGGGCAGACACUGGGAGCGGGCAUUCCCGAUUCACAGAGGACUCACCUCGGCGUACUACAGCGGCCUGGCAGAGCCCAGCCUGCAACAGGGGCCUCGUAUGCAUCUGUUGAGUACACCAGUGAAUCCCAAUCCCCCAGUUCGUUUUCUACCCCACAGGCCCAACCACUGGGUGGGGUGGGGGAGGCAUUUCGCUGGACGCCAUGGAGACGCAGUAUCGUCUGGGAACCUGAGUCUCUGUAAACCCCGGGGUCGGACAGACCAGUGCCAGCAAGCUCCUUCGCAGAGAGGAACUCAGACACGAAUCCCUGGAGACUCCUAGUUCUCAUACAGAGCUUGUUUUUUACUUCCAUGUUCAAAGUCCGGAUUUUCACAGGUCUGCUUCUCCCGGGGGCCACGCCUGCAUUUCUGCGAACGAUCCCCAGCUGUCCCUAAUGAAACGUGCUCCUCCACUGAGAGGGAGCCCAGCCCCACUCAAGUGGGUCAGAGCUCGUCCGUAGGAGGCUGUGUGGGGGUCACGCCACCACAGGACGCAGAUCUGCCAGAAGCCUGUUUUAUUGCACUUAACUAAUUCCCAAGAUAAACCACUGGGAAUUUCCAUGUAAGCA